UGUCAAUCUGAAGGGUGGGUAUGUGUGUCAUGCCCUGCAUGACUUCACUGGUGGCAAGUACGAGGAAUUUAUUCUGAGCAGAGCUCCAGAACACUUUUGGGACAUAAUGGAUCAGGCAGCAAAGAACAACGCUCUGAUGGGCUGUGGGAUCCCCCUAGUGGAAAGCCCUGCCAACACAGUGUUACCCUGUGGUAUAGUGGAGGGCCAUGCCUACUCUGUCAAAGGUGUCACCAAGUUGAUGGUUGAUGGUAAGGAAGCCAAACUGGUG